GAACCGUAUCUACUCACAACUGGGGUCCCUCAAGGUUACGUCCUGGGUCCCCUCCUCUUUUCUCUGUACACCAACUCUCUUGGUUCUGUUAUUCACUCACAUGGCUUUUCUUAUCACAGCUACGCAGACGUCACCCAACUAAUUCUCUCUUUUCCCCAGUCUAAAACACAGGUAGCAGCUCGCACCUCUACCUGUCUGACUGACAUCUCUCAUUGGAUGUCCACACCAAGGUUUUCGCAAUCGAUGGAUCGGUGGUAUUUUGGUAAUUGGUUUUAUUGGCGCCACUCUAGCUAUGAUUGCAAACAAGCUUUACCUCGUACUAAAACAAUUAAAGAAAAGAAGAGACAAUCCCAAAACACAACACAAUGAUCAUCAUUAAUUAAAUGAAUAGUUUGAAUUUCACAAAGCUCAGUGUCAAGUCAUAAAACGGCCCACUGGACUGUUGUUGAGGACGUUAUACUGUAGCUUUGGUAACUUUCUAUGACGCCUGUCUCUAUAAUGCUUUAUAAACACAGUUAUAAUGUGUUAUAAUCUGCUUAUAAUGCUCUAUAAGUAUAGUUAUAAGCACUUGUGAAUAAUCAUAAUGCUUUAUAACUAUAAUCAUAACACACUAUCAAGCAUUUUUAACCCAUAUCUCAUGCACUCCCAGGUUA